rnacentral:rRNA from 1 species
GACAGAGGGUGCAAACGUUGUUCGGAAUUACUGGGCAUAAAGCGCACGUAGGUGGUCCGCUAAGUCGCGUGUGAAAUCCCCCGGCUCAACCGGGGAAAUGCGCGUGAUACUGGCGGGCUUGAGAUCGGGAGGGGUGAAUGGAACUCCAGGUGGAGCGGUGAAAUGCGUAGAUAUCGAGAGGAACACCUGCGGCGAAGGCGGGUUGCUGGGCUGACACUGACGCUGAUGCGCGAAAGCGUGGGGAGCAAACAGG